AUGGUGCCCAUUCGAGCCGGGCUUGCCACCUACAAUGGCGGGGAGCAAGUGGAGAGCUUUCCCUGCCCCUCUAUGGGGGAACGGGUCUGCCUUGUUCCCUAUUUAUUAAGAGGACUCGGAUUUCCAAUUCAUCCGUUCCUCCGCGGGCUCCUGGAGUUCUACGGCCUCCAAUUACACAAUUUCACCCCUGCCUCCAUCCUACAUAUCGCCGGCUAUGUUGCUCUCUGUGAGUUGUUCCUGGGCUGCGAGGCUCACUUCAAGCUGUGGAAAAGACUAUUUUGCCUCAUCCCUCGCACACAGAGGGGGUCACUUUAUCAAGUGGGUGGAGCCGAAAUAUGGCGCAUCGCCGAUACCGGAUACCUGUCCGGUACCCCAAAGAAGUUGUCCGAAGACUGGCCUUCAGAAUGGUUUUAUAUGGAGGACGUUCCCCUUCCGGACCCUGUUCGGCAGGGUCUUCCUGGGUUCAACAAUGCUCCUCUAAAGAAACGCCGAAGUUGGCGCCCACGGAGCCCCCAGGUGGAAGACAAUGGAGAAGUCCUCUAUCUGAUGAACCUGAUUAAAGCACCGGCUCGAUCAGGAUUGACAGUAAUCGAAGUUAUGUCGAUUUGCAUAAUGCGGGGAGUGCAACCACUUCAAUAUCGUGGGCACCCCUUGUGGUGUUUUAACGGGGCAGAUGAUGCCACCCAUUGCGGGCGUAAGGGUCCGGACAAUGUCGCCGCUUUAGCGAAAAUUCCGUCCGAAUUGUUCAAGGGUGAGGAAGAGGAGUUCACCCACAUCAAGCCACGAGAUGGAUUCUCCAUGUACAAUCCUCCAAGCUGGGUAAGUUAUAUCUUCCUACUCCCAUUUCUCCUGCAUUUUUUGUCAUAA
rnacentral:rRNA from 1 species